AAGUUGAUGAUUGUCAUUGGAAACUUAACAAGGAAAAUUAUGGCUGAAAUACCUUUACAAUAUGUCUUCUAUUGUUACUAAAAUGCUUUUCCAAUAAAUUAAGCAGUUGAUUCUUGAUGUAUGCAUCUGUCAUUCAGGUUCCUGACACUUCAGAUAUCAACUUUAUAGAACGCUACAUACCCUUCUCUAAGCCUCAGAGAAACUCUUUCCUGAAUCUAUUACUUGCUUAGUUUUUCAUAAAGUUCAACAGUUGCUUUGUCCACAACUAUUUGCUUGUUGUAUGAUUUCCUAUGUGGCAACUUGUAUGGGAAGCUAUUAAUAUUCCAAGUACUUUACAAAGUUAUCUUUCAUCACUCUUUUAUUUACUUCUCCAGUUAGAGUCAUAUUUUUAAAUAAAAACACAUGGGUAUCCUUAGCCAUCACACAGCAAAGCUGACAUGUCACUAUUUCUGGAAUACUGAUUUUUAUGAGAGUCAACAGGUGAAAAUAAUGGUUAGGACACUGGAAAGAAAGCAGAUCAAGCAAAGCAAAGGGAACAGUGACAACAAAGGAGUGCAAAGACAUGGGAGUUCACACAGAAUCAGCAUUGGGAGAACACUUCCCCUGAAUUGAAAAUUUUGAGGAGAAGAUGAUGGUAAGGGCUCUACUGGAGCAGGAAAAGUCCUUGAUUCAGGAUAACAAAACUAAU